rfam:Oryza glumipatula chromosome 6, whole genome shotgun sequence.
AAUAAGUGCAGUUUUACACUGUUCAUGUCCAACAUUUGACCGUUUAUUUUAUUUGAAAUUUUUUUAUGAUUAGUAUUUUUAUUGUUAUUAGAUGAUAAAACAUGAAUAUCACUUUAUGUUUAACUAUUUUUUUUAUAUUUUUUUAAUAAGACGGACGGUUAAACGUUGGAUACGGAUACCCACGGCUGUACUUAUC